rnacentral:piRNA from 1 species
UGAGUGUCUGCAAUGGCAAGUGACUGUGGU